rnacentral:rRNA from 1 species
AUUGAACGCUGGCGGCAGGCCUAACACAUGCAAGUCGAGCGGAUGAAGGGAGCUUGCUCCUGGAUUCAGCGGCGGACGGGUGAGUAAUGCCUAGGAAUCUGCCUGGUAGUGGGGGAUAACGUCCGGAAACGGGCGCUAAUACCGCAUACGUCCUGAGGGAGAAAGUGGGGGAUCUUCGGACCUCACGCUAUCAGAUGAGCCUAGGUCGGAUUAGCUAGUUGGUGGGGUAAAGGCCUACCAAGGCGACGAUCCGUAACUGGUUUGAGAGGAUGAUCAGUCACACUGGAACUGAGACACGGUCCAGACUCUUACGGGAGGCAGCAGUGGGGAAUAUUGGACAAUGGGCGAAAGCCUGAUCCAGCCAUGCCGCGUGUGUGAAGAAGGUCUUCGGAUUGUAAAGCACUUUAAGUUGGGAGGAAGGGCAGUAAGUUAAUACCUUGCUGUUUUGACGUUACCAACAGAAUAAGCACCGGCUAACUUCGUG